rfam:Ictidomys tridecemlineatus contig104603, whole genome shotgun sequence.
UGAGAUGUGCCUCAGUGGUAGAGCACCUGCCUUGCAUGGGCAAGAACCUGGAUUCAAUCCCCAGCACCUCAA